GACGAACGCUGGCGGCGUGCUUAACACAUGCAAGUCGAACGGAAAGGCCCUGCUUUUGUGGGGUGCUCGAGUGGCGAACGGGUGAGUAACCCGUGAGUAACCUGCCCUUGACUUUGGGAUAACUUCAGGAAACUGGGGCUAAUACCGGAUAGGAGCUCCUGCUGCAUGGUGGGGGUUGGAAAGUUUCGGCGGUUGGGGGUGGACUCGCGGCUUAUCAGCUUGUUGGUGGGGUAGUGGCUUACCAAGGCUUUGACGGGUAGCCGGCCUGAGAGGGUGACCGGCCACAUUGGGACUGAGAUACGGCCCAGACUCCUACGGGAGGCAGCAGUGGGGAAUAUUGCACAAUGGGCGGAAGCCUGAUGCAGCAACGCCGCGUGCGGGAUGACGGCCUUCGGGUUGUAAACCGCUUUCGCCUGUGACGAAGCGUGAGUGACGGUAAUGGGUAAAGAAGCACCGGCUAACUACGUG
rnacentral:rRNA from 1 species